rnacentral:rRNA from 1 species
GUAGGGGGCGAACGUUGUCCGGAUUUAUUGGGCGUAAAGGGCUCGUAGGCGGUUCAACAAGUCGGCCGUGAAAACCCGGGGCUCAACCCCGGGACGCCGGUCGAAACUGUUGUGACUAGGGUCCGGUAGAGGUCAUUGGAAUUCUCGGUGUAGCGGUGAAAUGCGCAGAUAUCGAGAGGAACACCAGUAGCGAAGGCGGAUGACUGGGCCGGUACCGACGCUAAGGAGCGAAAGCGUGGGGAGCAAACAGGAUUAGAUACCCUGGUAGUCCACGCCGUAAACGUUGAACACUAGGUGUGGGGGACUUAUCCACGUCCUCCCGUGCCCGUAGCUAACGCAUUAAGUGUUCCCGCCUGGGGAGUACGGCCGCAAGGCUA